GCUGUGAUAGCUCAGUUGGGAGAGCGUCAGACUGAAGAUCUGAAGGUCCCGUGUUCGAUCCACGGUCACGGCA